rnacentral:rRNA from 1 species
AAUAAACGCUGGCGGCGCGCUUAACACAUGCAAGUCGAACGAGAACGUUCCUUCGGGAACUAGUAGAGUGGCAAACGGGUGAAUAACGCGUAAGGAUCUUCCCCUUAGUGAAGGAUACCUUCGAGAAAUCGGAGUUAAUCCUGCAUAUUCUUGAAAAAGGAAAGGCGGCCUCUUGCUGCCGCUAAGGGAUGAACUUGCGUCCUAUCAGCUAGUUGGUGGGGUAAUGGCUCACCAAGGCGGUGACGGGUGGCCGGCCUGAGAGGGUGUACGGCCACACUGGGACUGAGACACGGCCCAGACUCCUACGGGAGGCAGCAGUAGGGAAUCUUCCGCAAUGGACGCAAGUCUGACGGAGCAACGCCGCGUGAGUGACGAAGGUUUUCGGAUCGUAAAACUCUGUUGUGAGGGAAGAACACGUACCAACUAACUAUUGGUACCUUGACGGUACCUCACCAGAAAGCCACGGCUAACUACGUGCCAGCCGCCGCCGUAA